GUGGGUUAACUCCUCUUCAUCUCCUGGCAAAUAAGCCUUCUGUUUUCAGGAGUGGUGGCCACUUGGGACGGUUUGAACGAAUUGUUUAUAAUGCUAUAAUGGUGAAGAAGCUCGAAGUAGCACCCAAUAGUCAGGAGCAACGUCCAACAACCGACACAGAAAAAAUCAGUUAUCCGGAAAAUUACGAGAUAUGUGUGGGGCUUUUGAGCAUGGCAAAAAAAUUCGCCUUAGUGGUGACCGAGCCGUUGAGACAAUUUCAUAAAAAGUUACCGCAUAAUGAUCAAAUUGGACCAAAAAGAGACCUCGAAGCAUUGAAAAAUAUUGCUACAGAUGAUGGAGCGGAAACAAAAUC